rnacentral:tRNA from 1 species
GCGGCUAUACGUCAGCUGGGAAAGCGUCAGACUGAGGAUCUGAAGGUCCUCUGUUCGAUCCACAGUGGUCGCA